UACGGAAGGCAGCAGUGGGGAAUAUUGCACAAUGGGCGCAAGCCUGAUGCAGCCAUGCCGCGUGUAUGAAGAAGGCCUUCGGGUUGUAAAGUACUUUCAGUCGUGAGGAAGGUGUUAAGGUUAAUAACCUUAGCAAUUGACGUUAGCGACAGAAGAAGCACCGGCUAACUCCGUGCCAGCAGCCGCGGUAAUACGGAGGGUGCGAGCGUUAAUCGGAAUUACUGGGCGUAAAGGGCACGCAGGCGGUUAAUUAAGUUGGAUGUGAAAUCCCCGGGCUUAACCUGGGAAUGGCAUUCAAGACUGGUUAGCUAGAGUCUUGUAGAGGGGGUAGAAUUCCAUGUGUAGCGGUGAAAUGCGUAGAGAUGUGGAGGAAAUACCGGUGGCGAAAGGCGGCCCCUGGGACAAAGGACUGACGCUCAUGUGCGAAAAGCGUGGGGAGCAAAACAGGGAUUAGAUACC
rnacentral:rRNA from 1 species